GAGAGUUUGAUCCUGGCUCAGGACGAACGCUUGCGGCGUGCCUAAGAAAUGCAAGUCGAACGGGGUCAUCAGCAAUGAUGGCUUAGUGGCGAACGGUCGCGUAACACGUAAGCAACCUGCCUCGAAGUGGGGGAUAACAGCCCGAAAGGGCUGCUAAUACCGCAUGUGGUCCAGUUUUGGCAUCUUAAUUGGACUAAAGAUUUAUCGCUUCGAGAUGGGCUUGCGGCCUAUCAGGUAGUUGGUGGGGUAACGGCCUACCAAGCCGACGACGGGUAGCUGGUCUGAGAGGACGAUCAGCCGGAUUGGGACUGAGAUACGGCCCAGACUCCUACGGGGGGCAGCAAUUAGGAAUCUUGCACAAUGGGGGAAACCCUGAUGCAGCGACGCCGCGUGAAGGAUGAAGCUUUUCGGAGUGUAAACUUCUUUUGAUGGGGAAGAAACAAAUGACGGUACCCAUCGAAUAAGCCCCGGCUAACUACGUGCCAGCAGCCGCGGUAAUACGUAGGGGGCGAGCGUUGUCCGAAUUUACUGGGCGUAAAGCGCGCGUAGGCGGUUUCUUAAGUCUGGGGUGAAAGGUUCAACGCUCAACGUGAACAGUGCCUUGGAUACUGGGAGACUUGAGUCUGGGAGGGGGCAGUGGAAUUCCUGGUGUAGCGGUGAAAUGCGUAGAUAUCAGGAGGAACACCGGUGGCGAAGGCGGCUGCCUGGCCUAAGACUGACGCUGAGGUGCGAAAGCGUGGGUAGCGAACGGGAUUAGAUACCCCGGU
rnacentral:rRNA from 1 species